GACGGGGGGUGCAAGCGUUGUUCGGAAUUACUGGGCGUAAAGCGUGCGCAGGCGGUCUGUUAAGACCGAUGUGAAAUCCCCGGGCUUAACCUGGGAACUGCAUUGGUGACUGGCAGGCUUUGAGUGUGGCAGAGGGAGGUAGAAUUCCACGUGUAGCAGUGAAAUGCGUAGAGAUGUGGAGGAAUACCGAUGGCGAAGGCAGCCUCCUGGGCCAACACUGACGCUCAUGCACGAAAGCGUGGGGAGCAAACAGG
rnacentral:rRNA from 1 species